GGACUUGCUUUGGUAGUACAUAUAGUGACAUUGGAAUGAGAAGAGUAGAGAAGAUCAGCAUAGCUUCUGUGCAAAGAUGACACACAAAUUUGUGAAGUGUUUAUAUUUUUA
ensembl:snRNA U6 U6 spliceosomal RNA